UACAGAGGUCUCAAGCGUUGUUCGGAUUCAUUGGGCGUAAAGGGUGCGUAGGCGGCGCGGUAAGUCGGGUGUGAAAUCUCGGAGCUUAACUCCGAAACUGCAUUCGAUACUGCCGUGCUUGAGGACUGGAGAGGAGACUGGAAUUUACGGUGUAGCGGUGAAAUGCGUAGAUAUCAGGAGGAACACCGGUGGCGAAGGCGGGUCUCUGGGCCGAUACUGACGCUGAGACGCGAAAGCGUGGGGAGCGAACAGG
rnacentral:rRNA from 1 species